AGAGUUUGAUCAUGGCUCAGAACGUACGCUGGCGGCACGCCUAACACAUGCAAGUCGAACGAAGUAGCAAUACUUAGUGGCAGACGGGUGAGUAACAUGUAGGUAUCUGCCCUUUGGCCUGGAAUAACACGAGGAAACUUGUGCUAAUACCGGAUAAGUCUUUACAGAGAAAGCUUUAUGCACCAUUGGAUGAGCCUGCACUUGAUUAGUUUGUUGGUGGGGUAAUGGCCUACCAAGACUUUGAUCAAUAGCUGAUUUGAGAGGAUGAUCAGCCACAUUGGGACUGAGACACGGCCCAAACUCCUACGGGAGGCAGCAGUGGGGAAUCUUGCACAAUGGAGGAAACUCUGAUGCAGCGAUGCCGCGUGAGUGAAGAAGGCCCUUGGGUUGUAAAGCUCUUUCGUCGGGGAAGAAAAUGACUGUACCCGAAUAAGAAGGUCCGGCUAACUUCGUGCCAGCAGCCGCGGUAAUACGAAGGGACCUAGCGUAGUUCGGAAUUACUGGGCUUAAAGAGUUCGUAGGUGGUUGAAAAAGUUGGUGGUGAAAUCCCAGAGCUUAACUCUGGAACUGCCAUCAAAACUUUUCAGCUAGAGUAUGAUAGAGGAAAGCAGAAUUUCUAGUGUAGAGGUGAAAUUCGUAGAUAUUAGAAAGAAUACCAAUUGCGAAGGCAGCUUUCUGGAUCAUUACUGACACUGAGGAACGAAAGCAUGGGUAGCGAAGAGGAUUAGAUACCCUCGUAGUCCAUGCCGUAAACGAUGUGUGUUAGACGUUGGAAAUUUAUUUUCAGUGUCGCAGCAAAAGCGAUAAACACACCGCCUGGGGAGUACGACCGCAAGGUUAAAACUCAAAUGAAUUGACGGGGACCCGCACAAGUAGUGGAGCAUGUGGUUUAAUUCGAAGAUACGCGCAGAACCUUACCAACACUUGACAUGUUCGUCGCGACUCUAAGAGAUUAGAGUUUUCGGUUCGGCCGGACGAAACACAGGUGCUGCAUGGCUGUCGUCAGCUCGUGUCGUGAGAUGUUGGGUUAAGUCCCGCAACGAGCGCAACCCUCACUUUUAGUUGCCAUCAUUUAGUUGGGCACUCUGAAAGAACUGCCAGUGAUAAGCUGGAGGAAGGUGGGGAUGACGUCAAGUCCUCAUGGCCCUUACGUGUUGGGCUACACACGUGCUACAAUGGUAUCUACAACAGGAAGCAAGACGGCGACGUUAAGCAAAUCCUUAAAAGAUACCUCAGUUCGGAUUGCACUCUGCAACUCGAGUGCAUGAAGCUGGAAUUACUAGUAAUCGUGGAUCAGCGUGCCACGGUGAAUGCGUUCCCGGGUCUUGUACACACCGCCCGUCACACCAUGGGAGUUGGUUCUACCUUAAGGCAAGGUUUAAAAUCCUUGACCACGGUAUAGUCAGCGACUGGGGUGAAGUCGUAACAAGGUAACCGUA
rnacentral:rRNA from 1 species